GAACGAACGCUGGCGGCAUGCCUAACACAUGCAAGUCGAACGAGACCUUCGGUUCUAGUGGCGCACGGGUGCGUAACGCGUGGGAACCUGCCCUUAGGUUCGGAAUAACUCCCCGAAAGGGGUGCUAAUACCGGAUAAUGUCUUCGGACCAAAGAUUUAUCGCCGUUGGAUGGGCCCGCGUUGGAUUAGCUAGUUGGUAGGGUAAAAGCCUACCAAGGCGACGAUACAUAGCUUGUCUGAGAGGAUGAGCAGCCACACUGGGACUGAGACACGGCCCAGACUCCUACGGGAGGCAGCAGUGGGGAAUAUUGGACAGUGGGCGACAGCCUGAUCCCGCAAUGCCGCGUGAGUGAUGAAGGCCUUAGGGUUGUAAAGCUCUUUUACCCGGGAUGAUAAUGACAGUACCGGGAGAAUAAGCACCGGCUAACUACGUG
rnacentral:rRNA from 1 species